AUUGAACGCUGGCGGCAUGCCUUACACAUACAAGUCGAACGGCAGCACGGGGCAACCUGGUGGCGAGUGGCGAACGGGUGAGUAAUGCGUCGGAACGUACCUUUCAGUGGGGGAUAACGUAGCGAAAGUUACGCUAAUACCGCAUAUUCUGUGAGCAGGAAAGCAGGGGAUCGCAAGACCUUGCGCUGAUUGAGCGGCCGAUGUCAGAUUAGCUAGUUGGUGAGGUAAAGGCGCACCAAGGCGACGAUCUGUAGCGGGUCUGGGAGGAUGAUCCGCCACACUGGAACUGAGACACGGUCCAGACUCCUACGGGAGGCAGCAGUGGGGAAUUUUGGACAAUGGGGGCAACCCUGAUCCAGCCAUGCCGCGCGAGUGAAGAAGGCCUUCGGGUUGUAAAGCUCUUUCGGCCGGGAAGAAAUCGCACGGGCUAAUACCCUGUGUGGAUGACGGUACCGGAAUAAGAAGCACCGGCUAACUACGUGCCAGCCGCCGCGGUAAGAC
rnacentral:rRNA from 1 species